UAAGUUCCCCGCCUGGGGAGUACGGCCGCAAGGCUAAAACUCAAAGGAAUUGACGGGGACCCGCACAAGCGGCGGAGCAUGCGGAUUAAUUCGAUGCAACGCGAAGAACCUUACCAAGGCUUGACAUACACCAGAACACCGUAGAAAUACGGGACUCUUUGGACACUGGUGAACAGGUGGUGCAUGGUUGUCGUCAGCUCGUGUCGUGAGAUGUUGGGUUAAGUCCCGCAACGAGCGCAACCCUCGUUCUAUGUUGCCAGCACGUUAUGGUGGGAACUCAUGGGAUACUGCCGGGGUCAACUCGGAGGAAGGUGGGGAUGACGUCAAAUCAUCAUGCCCCUAUGUCUUGGGCUUCACGCAUGCUACAAUGGCCGGUACAAAGGGCUGCAAUACCGUGAGGUGGAGCGAAUCCCAAAAAGCCGGUCCCAGUUCGGAUUGAGGUCUGCAACUCGACCUCAGAAGUCGGAGUCGCUAGUAAUCGCAGAUCAGCACGUGA
rnacentral:rRNA from 1 species